rnacentral:lncRNA from 1 species
UUCACUAAAGCCCUAGCGAUAAAGGAGUUCGACAAUCACAAGUCGAAGAUGGGUAUUAGAUACUGUGUCAAGUGGCUUUAGGAUAAGUGAGAGUUAUUGAAAAAUAUGUCUCAAAAGCUAAUCAUUAACCUGUUGACGGUUGAACAACCUUGUAUUAUAAUUAAUUUGUUAAUAAGUAAAAUAUAUUUUUUGACAUUUUCAUUAUAAGUUUUCAUCUUUUAAUGAACUC